GGCCUAUAGGGGAACCGAGCACCCAAAACUAACUUCGGUAACGCGCCUUUUGUAUACCUCAGCGGUGGUGUGGAAAUUACAAACUCCCAAAACAUUUACUAAAAAUUCCCUAACACAUUUCUUCCAUAGUGGCAUCAUUGGCAAAUGUUAUAAAAAAUGUGGACUUUGACAGCGCUCUCUCGAAUCAAAGAGUUUCGUAUCAAUUUAUCCAUGCCAUAUAUUUCUGACGCAAAUUGAGUGGAAAGAAGAGUUUAAUACCUGUAGCAAAACGGCAAAAGAGAAUUAAAAAUUUCACAGGAGGUGAAAACGACAACUAAAUAAAGAAGGGGAAGAGUGGCCCUGAAUAUGGGCCAUAACAAACGUUAUGCAUUCGAAUAAAAAUGCUAUGGAGCAGGCCUGGGACCACAAAAGCAAAACCGUUGGCAAAACUCUGAGGGCAAAGCUGGAUCGAUUAGUUACGGGAGAGCUAUCGCUAUCGCGCCAAAGUGGCCCGCAAGCACAAAAGUGGUAGCGCUGGUGGAGAAACGCUGGAGGAGCCUUUUUUUAGACACGAUUGAUUGGGAGUUUGCUGAAGAAAUGGUAUUUUUGUAUUUUACAUUAUGCUGUUACAGAAAGUUAAUGAACUUAAAUCAAAAAAUUAAAAUAAAUAUCUUUUUAUACUCA